UACGGAGGAGGCAAGCGUUAUCCGGAAUGAUUGGGCGUAAAGAGUCCGUAGGUAGCAUUUGAAGUCUUCGGUCAAAGACAGAAGCUUAACUUCUGAAAGGCCGUGGAAACUCAAGAGCUAGAGAGCGGGAGGGGCAGAGGGAAUUCCCAGUGUAGCGGUGAAAUGCGUAGAGAUUGGGAAGAACACCGGUGGCGAAAGCGCUCUGCUGGACCGCAUCUGACACUGAGGGACGAAAGCUAGGGGAGCGAAU
rnacentral:rRNA from 1 species